rnacentral:rRNA from 1 species
GAUGAACGCUGGCGGCGUGCCUAAUACAUGCAAGUCGAGCGAACAGAUGAGGAGCUUGCUCCUCUGACGUUAGCGGCGGACGGGUGAGUAACACGUGGAUAACCUACCUAUAAGACUGGGAUAACUACGGGAAACCGGAGCUAAUACCGGAUAAUAUAUUGAACCGCAUGGUUCAAUAGUGAAAGACGGUUUUGCUGUCACUUAUAGAUGGAUCCGCGCCGCAUUAGCUAGUUGGUAAGGUAACGGCUUACCAAGGCAACGAUGCGUAGCCGACCUGAGAGAGUGAACGGCCACACUGAAACUGAGACACGGUCCAGACUCCUACGGGAGGCAGCAGUAGGGAAUCUUCCGCAAUGGGCGAAAGCCUGACGGAGCAACGCCGCGUGAGUGAUGAAGGUCUUCGGAUCGUAAAACUCUGUUAUUAGGGAAGAACAAAUGUGUAAGUAACUAUGCACGUAUUGACGGUACCUAAUCAGAAAGCCACGGCUAACUACGUG